rnacentral:rRNA from 1 species
AUACGGAGGAUGCGAGCGUUAUCCGGAUUUAUUGGGUUUAAAGGGUGCGCAGGCGGCCAUUUAAGUCAGCGGUUAAAUCGUGGGGCUCAACCCCAUUCUGCCGUUGAUACUGGGUGGCUUGAUUGCGGUCGAGGUUGGCGGAAUUCGUUGUGUAGCGGGGAAAUGCAUAGAUAUGACGAAGAACACCGAUUGCGUAGGCAGCUGACCAGACCGCAAAUGACGCUCAUGCACGAAAGUGCGGGGAUCGAACAGGAUUAGAUACCCUGGUAGUCCGCACAGUAAACGAUGAAUACUUGUUUUCGGCGAUAUAAUGUCGGAGGCAAAGCGAAAGCGAUAAGUAUUCCACCUGGGGAGUACGCCGGCAGCGGUGAAACUCAAAUGAAUUGACGGGG